GUGGGGAAUUUUGGACAAUGGGCGAAAGCCUGAUCCAGCCAUGCCGCGUGCAGGAUGAAGGCCUUCGGGUUGUAAACUGCUUUUGUACGGAACGAAAAGACUCCUUCUAAUAAAGGGGGUCCAUGACGGUACCGUAAGAAUAAGCACCGGCUAACUACGUGCCAGCAGCCGCGGUAAUACGUAGGGUGCAAGCGUUAAUCGGAAUUACUGGGCGUAAAGCGUGCGCAGGCGGUUAUAUAAGACAGAUGUGAAAUCCCCGGGCUCAACCUGGGAACUGCAUUUGUGACUGUAUAGCUAGAGUACGGUAGAGGGGGAUGGAACUCCGCGUGUAGCAGUGAAAUGCGUAGAUAUGCGGAGGAACACCGAUGGCGAAGGCAAUCCCCUGGACCUGUACUGACGCUCAUGCACGAAAGCGUGGGGAGCAAACAGGAUUAGAAACCCGAGUAGUCC
rnacentral:rRNA from 1 species